rnacentral:rRNA from 1 species
UGGGGAAUAUUGGACAAUGGGCGAAAGCCUGAUCCAGCAAUGCCGCGUGUGUGAAGAAGGUCUUCGGAUUGUAAAGCACUUUCGACGGGGACGAUGAUGACGGUACCCGUAGAAGAAGCCCCGGCUAACUUCGUGCCAGCAGCCGCGGUAAUACGAAGGGGGCUAGCGUUGCUCGGAAUGACUGGGCGUAAAGGGCGCGUAGGCGGAUGGCACAGUCAGAUGUGAAAUUCCCGGGCUUAACCUGGGGGCUGCAUUUGAUACGUGUUGUCUAGAGUGAGGAAGAGGGUUGUGGAAUUCCCAGUGUAGAGGUGAAAUUCGUAGAUAUUGGGAAGAACACCGGUGGCGAAGGCGGCAACCUGGUCCUUGACUGACGCUGAGGCGCGAAAGCGUGGGGAGCAAACAG